AAUGUACUGAAUUUCAAAUAUCUUUGCUCUCAAUCUCAAAUAUACAUGCUCCAAAAAUGUGUAGCGAGCCAUUCUAGAAUGUAAGAUAAGGCCCACGUGCAUUUCCGAAAACAUUUUUCGAAAUUGAAACGAAAAAAUAUGUAAGAUAAGUCCCACGUUCAUUUCCCACCUCCCAUUCACAGUACUGCUGUACUUCCAAGAAGCUCCAAUUUCCCACCACCGUCAAAAUUCAAUGGCGGAAGAAGAAAAAGUAGAAUUACAACAACUCAAACACGAAAACCAAGAUCUUCCACAAGUGCUUGUUCUUGGUUCUCCAACGUGCUUACAAACCUUAAAACAACUCUACUCUCACAAAUUCCGUUUUCUUAUCCCAAACACUUCGUUGGACUCACUCUACCCUCUCACCGCUCCACUUUCAUCCAUCUCCGCCGUCAUCUGCAGUGCUUCCUUCUCCCUCACCGCCCCCGUCCUCCGCCUCCUCCCCUCCCUCCGACUAGUCGUCACCACCAGUGCCGGCACCGAUCACAUUGACCUCAAUGAGUGUGGCUGCCGAGGGAUACAGGUAGCUGGCGCCGGAAAACUGUUUUCCGAUGAGGUGGCUGAUAUGGCGGUGGGGCUGCUCAUCGACGUCAUGAGGAGAGUCUCGGCUGCCGAUAGAUUCGUACGGACGAGCUGUGAAGCUGCCACGUGGGAUUUCCCUCUCGGUUACAAGAUUUCAGGAAAGAGGAUUGGCAUAGUUGGACUCGGAAGCAUUGGCAUGGAAGUUGCUAAGAGACUCGAAUGUUUUGGUUGCACCAUCUUAUACCACUCAAAGCAUAAAAAAUCUGCAGUUUCAUAUCCUUUCUAUAACAGUGUUAUUGACCUUGCUGCUACUAGCAAUGCACUUGUUCUCUGUUGUGCACUGAAUGAGGAAACAAGGCACAUAGUAAACAGGGAAGUGAUGUUGGCAUUGGGAAAAGAAGGGUUCAUUGUGAAUGUUGGGAGAGGAUCUCUUAUUGAUGAGAAGCAAUUGGUGAAGUUUUUGAUGGAUGGUGAAAUUGGUGGUGCUGCUUUGGAUGUGUUUGAAGAUGAACCUAAUGUUCCUAAAGAGCUACUCAGUAUGGAUAAUGUGGUUUUGACUCCACAUUGUGCUGCUUUUACUUCUGAAUGUAUAAUCAAAUUGUGUGAACUUGUGGCUGGGAAUAUAGAAGCCUCGUUAUCAGAUAAGCCCUUAAUUACUCAGGUGAAAUGGUGAAUGUUGGUUGAAGUGAAAUGUUACAAAUUUGUCUUAUCCCCUGCAAUGAUUCUUGUAUAUCAAAAAGUUGUGAAGUUUUGAACUCGCCCUCACACACAAGAUUAUGUUGUUCAUAGAUUAUCCAGAAACGAAUAUUGAUUCGAAGUCGAAGAAAAUCAUUCACGAAAGAUGGAUAUCAUUACUCGGAGUACUUGUACAACAGCUCAAAAGGUG